rnacentral:rRNA from 1 species
GACAGGCGUAGUCGAUGGAUGACGGGUUGAUAUUCCCGUACCGGCGAAGGACCGACCAUGCUGACGCGCGGGUGCUAACCCACGCUGCUGGCCCAUAAUUGUGGCCGCACCUGACCAUGUGUGGUGGGUGUGGCUGGUGUGGCUGGUGGUCUGGGGAUCCUCCGUGCUGGUAGGCAAGCGUGUUAACAGGGGUGACGCACAGUGGUAGCCCGGCGGGCCUAAUGGCUUGGCCUGUUCAAGCGCGCAGCCCGGUCCCCAGGUAAAUCCGGGGGCCAGCCUCAUGCGUGGGGCGGGGGUGAGGCGUGAUGGUGACCGGUGGCCGUGUGCUGCUGGGAUAACAGGGUGAUCCUGGGGUGCCGAGAAAAGCCUCGACGCGAUGGUCUAAGCCGCCCGUACCCGAAACCGACACAGGUGGUCCGGCAGAGUAUGCCUAGGCGAACGAGUGAACCGUGGUGAAGGAACUCGGCAAAAUGCCCCCGUAACUUCGGGAGAAGGGGGGCCCGGACCCUGAAGCAGCCAGCCUGCUAGGGGUGAGGGCCGCAGAGACCAGGGGGGAGCGACUGUUUACUAAAAACACAGGUCCGUGCGAAGCCGUAAGGCGAUGUAUACGGACUGACGCCUGCCCGGUGCUGGAAGGUUAAGAGGAUCCGUGAGCCCCUUGGAUACAUGGGGUGAGGCGGUGAGUUCAAGCCCCAGUAAACGGCGGUGGUAACUAUAACCAUCCUAAGGUAGCGAAAUUCCUUGUCGGGUAAGUUCCGACCUGCACGAAUGGCGUAACGACUUCCCCACUGUCUCCACCACGGGCUCGGCGAAAUUGCAUUACGAGUAAAGAUGCUCGUUACGCGCAGAAGGACGGAAAGACCCCGGGACCUUUACUAUAGCUUGGUAUUGGCGUCCGCCAUGGUUUGUGCAGGAUAGGUGGGAGACUGUGAGACCGCCACGCUAGUGGUGGUGGAGUCAUUGUUGAGAUACCACUCUGGCUGUGGCGUGCGCCUGAACCUCGGCCCGUGAUCCGGGUCAGGGACAGUGCCUGGUGGGUAGUUUAACUGGGGCGGUUGCCUCCUAAAAAGUAACGGAGGCGCUCAAAGGUUCCCUCAGCCUGGUCGGUAACCAGGUGGCGAGUGCAAGUGCACAAGGGAGCUUGACUGCGAGACCGACACGUCAAGCAGGUACGAAAGUAGGAACUAGUGAUCCGGCGAUCCCGUGUGGAUGGGUCGUCGCUCAACGGAUAAAAGGUACCCCGGGGAUAACAGGCUGAUCCUGCC